rnacentral:rRNA from 1 species
GGAAUAUUGGACAAUGGGGGCAACCCUGAUCCAGCCAUGCCGCGUGUGUGAAGAAGGCCUUCGGGUUGUAAAGCACUUUCAGUGGGGAGAAAAGUGAUUCACUUAAUACGCGAGUUAAUUGAUGUUACCCACAGAAGAAGCACCGGCUAACUCCGUGCCAGCCGCCGCGGUAAUACGGAGGGUGCAAGCGUUAAUCGGAAUUACUGGGCGUAAAGCGCACGUAGGCGGUUCGUUAAGCCAGCUGUGAAAUCCCCGGGCUCAACCUGGGAAUUGCAGUUGGAACUGGCGAGCUAGAGUAUGGUAGAGGGGUGUGGAAUUUCAGGUGUAGCGGUGAAAUGCGUAGAUAUCUGAAGGAACACCAGUGGCGAAGGCGACACCCUGGACCAAUACUGACGCUGAGGUGCGAAAGCGUGGGGAGCAAACAGG